AACUUAAUCCCCAGAUAUACCAAAAACUUCAAAAAUUUGAAACUGUGAAACUGGCCCAUUUCAUUUAACAAUGCAAGAUUUCAUCUUUUCUGAAAUGUAGUUUUUUUUGGUAAUAUUAAAGCCCCCUUUGGAUAAAAAGGAAAUACCUAGAUGACUACAUCCUUGCAUAAUUAUAUCAAAGAGCAGUUCUUCGGACUAUACGAACUUUCCCUUUAUAAGCAGAAGUUACGCAUGCAUCAUAUAUUGCAUUUGAUGCAGAUUGCUGAAGGACUUUAUAUGAGUUCCUUGGAAUCAUGGUCCCUUACAGUAUGGAGUGCAAUAAAUUUUUGAUUUCAGAACCAAACCACUUCAAAUAAGAUAUUUUGCAAUCCUUUGCCACUGUUGUGAAAUUUGGUCUUCAUUCAGACUUGGAUGCUAAUCCACAGUCGGAAACGAGUCCAUAAGGGCCUGGCGUCUCACACAGAAAGCAUUUCCGGUGCUCAAGGUCGCGUUUCCAGUGCUAAGUGGCAGGAAUUUCGGAUGUCAUGUUCGCAAUGCCCCAGUGCCAAACAUUUGGCUUGGUUUCCUUGAGUUUUCAGAGCCUCUGCAGGCACAUGUGGAUGGCCUUCGAGGAACAACUAAAUAUAUUGAAAAUGCUCAAGUAUUGGGCGUAUUUUUACGACUUCAUUUGUGGUAGGUCUAGCUGGCAUCGGCAAUAUGUUGUUGGUUUUUUAUACGUCCCUCCAACGUCAACGGCAGUAACAACAAAGCUAUAGCCAUAACGAUCCGCAAAGGUACUACAACAGCAAUCACCAGCACCAUCUAAAUCGCCAUGACCGCUUGCCGUCUGUCACCAGGCACGAAGCGGACGCUGGGCAUCCAAAAAAGUAUGACUACCAGUAUUAAUACCUGUUCGGGAUGAUCGGGCCCGCAAUGACUAUAGUUGCAUGACCAGCUCGGCGUCGAUGUCGUUGUCGAAGCCGGCCACGAUUUCAGUUACGACAAUGACGGAUUUUGGCAUUUUGGCCCUAAAAUACAUACUGAGGUGUUAGCCAUUUGACGUUGCGGAUCUUUCGGCUGGAGUUGUCGCCGCUGCAACGCCUCAGACCGUUGCCGGGUCAAGAUGAAGAAGACGCAGAGCGGACAAUGUUCGGCUCACGCGACUGCCUGCCGCAUAAAUAUAAAUGAAAAACCUCAAAUCUGGUUUCGAACAAAGACUCACUCGCAUGCCCUUUACAAACUUG